AAAAGGCUAAGUUCGUGAGCAACCGAACAUUUUAUACUCUCGCAAUUUAUUGCUAUAUUUUUAUUAAAAUAAAACACAAUUUGACUCACAUAUUCGGCAUAUACAUACAUAGUACUAUAUAUAUAAAAAGAAGUUACAUUUCCUUGGUAAUCUUAUAACUCAAGAACCGCCGAAUCGAUUGACACAAAAAUUUUAGAGUUCGUUCCUACCUAUAAGGAGGUGGUUUGUGUGAAGUUUGUUUGGAAUCGGUGCAGCCGUUCCUGAGUUUGACAUUUUUUGUGAGUAAAUACACUGUACCAAAAUCAAGUAUUUUCAAUACGAUUUAUCAAUUAUACAUCGUGCUCUCAUUGCGAACAGAAUAUUAAUUUGCUGUCAUUGGAAUUCAGUUGACAGUUUUCUUAUGUGCUUUGAGUUCUUUUAUAUCUUGCUCUCAUUUUGAACAAUCAUACUUUUGUUCAAUUGCCAAGCGUUACUUAAUUUUCACAAUUUUAAUUUGAUCUCAUUUUCCGUCAUACACUGUACUGAAAGAAUGCCACGUUCAAGACGACCAAACAUUGGCAGACGUUCACGUCAAUCAAAUGCUACAGCGUUAAAUCGAAGAUCACAAAGUGAAGAAGAUCGUGUUCGACGAAAUGAAAUGGAAACACAACGACACAGACGGAGAACUCACUGGGAUAAUAGUGAAGCACCAAGAAACCGUCGUGGGCGUACGUCCGUUUAUGAUAUACGUCAAAUGGAACACGCGGCUUUCAAUUACGAUGCCACCAUUGAUUACAGCAUGUAUGCCUACAUUGGCCAGAUGAAUAUAGAAUGUAUACAUUGCAAAGUAUUUAAAUUCAUAAUGGAAUGUGUUGUGCUGGUGGGAAAGUCAAAUUACCGGUGCUAGAACUUCCGCCAGAACCUUUGCAUUCAUUGGGUUUUGGUAAUUCGCCAACGUCAAAGCAUUUCCUCUUAAAUAUUCAAAAAUACAAUUCAUGCUUUCAAAUGACAUCUUUUGGAGCUAUAAAUAUUAUGAAAGAUGGAUUUAUGCCGACGUAUAAGGUGAUUUCUUCGUGUGGAAUUAGCAAUAUCAUUUUUAAUUUAUGUGCCGUCCCUGUGUUCGAUGUUUUUAGAAAUUAAGAUCCGUUAUCAUCUAUAUAUAUUUCUCGACCGUUACAGAUUCAAGGUCAAAUAUACCAUAGAGCUGGGUCUUUGCUACCAUUACCAGAUGAUGAUCAUAAAUUUUUGCAAAUAUAUUUCAUUGAUGGUGAGAAUCGUGAAUUAAAUAAGCGCUGUGCAAUUUCGACGAAUACGAGAAGAUCAAUCGUGAAUGAAUUGCAAACAUUUUUUCAUCAACACAAUGAAUUGGUGAAAUUGUUUAAAGUGGCACUCGAACGGAUGCCCUCCGAUGGCCACAAAAUCAUAAUAAAAGCCGAUAAAACACCAAUUGGGGAGCAAACCAGACGAUUCAAUGCACCAACGAUUGAUGAAGUAGCCAUUGUUGUGGUUGGCGAACAGUUGUUUUGUAUCGUAGAAAUGAGAAUUUAUAACGUAUUUCAGAACUCCAUCGCUGUUAUGAUGCAUUGCAAUACCCCAUUUUGUUUUGGAGAGGGGACGAUGGCUAUCACAUCAACAUACCAAUGAUAAAUCCAACAACUGGUACAUAUACAUUUUAUUUUGUUUAACACGUUCGCGUUCAUUUGAAUUUAGCGGGUGACUGCCAGAUAAUCACUUAAUUUUUCCAUACAAAUUUGAAGAGCGGGAAUUCCCGCUUUUUUUCUACAGGUUAAUUUUUUUUAAAUAGUCUGAACAAAUUAGGGAAUUCCCGCCAUUAC